CGAAUUUCGAACAUAGCAUUUACUCUGUCAAAAAUAUUGUUUUGUUUUGGACAGAUGAUUUUUGCAGAGAAGAAGAUUCCGAGCGGUGCAAAAAGUAGUGUUCUUGUGAAUGUUUUGCCGUUUUCUGCAGACUGCUGAAGACAUAACAGCCCGGAAAAGCUCAAACGGGGGAAAGUGAAGCCAUCCUGUGCAACCUGCAAGGGCUAAACACGGUUUUUCACAACUAUGGAUGUGUCUGCAGUGUGGUGGCAACCGAUCCCUCUGCAACGUCCUUAUCGGUGGAUAGGCACCCAUCGAAUCAGCAAAUGAUCGUGAUAUCCAGCGGAAUCGCCACAACUUAAGUGCACCAAACGGCAACGUCGAUCGGAGUCCCUGCGGGUCGAUACAACAAGCAAUCGCACCAGCAAGAUAAUUUUGCUGCCAUGCCACAGGCGACCGGAUCGGUAGUCAGUGAUGGAACCGCGGGACAACGCAAUGGAACUGCAGUUACCGCCACCAACGCUGAUGCGAUAAGCAAACAGGCAAGCAAGCAGAUUGCAAAAUAGUUUCUCAAACAGAGAGACGGUAGGUUUGAGAAUGACAUGGCCAUCUCUGGUCGUUGAAAAGAUGAAUAAACUAAAACUACGAAACUAAAAA